CAGUCGCCACGGUAAUACAGAGGGUGCAAGCGUUAAUCGGAAUUACUGGGCGUAAAGCGCGCGUAGGUGGUUUGUUAAGUUGGAUGUGAAAUCCCCGGGCUCAACCUGGGAACUGCAUCCAAAACUGGCAAGCUAGAGUAUGGUAGAGGGUGGUGGAAUUUCCUGUGUAGCGGUGAAAUGCGUAGAUAUAGGAAGGAACACCAGUGGCGAAGGCGACCACCUGGACUGAUACUGACACUGAGGUGCGAAAGCGUGGGGAGCAAACAGGAUUAGAUACCCGAGUAGUCCCUGUCUCUUAUAA
rnacentral:rRNA from 1 species